rnacentral:lncRNA from 1 species
CUGAGGCUGGAUUUGAACUCAGGUCCUCCUGACUCCAGGACCAGUACUGCCAUUGCUGUUAACUUUCUCACUUUGAGAUUCCAGGUGGAGGACUGGUUUUGGGCCCAGGCUCUGUGGAGUUGAGUCUGAUGCUGGCAGGGGGUAGUGGUCGAAGUCUUUGCGAGUUUGCACAGAGCACAAAAAGGAAGAAAGCUAUGAUUCUCAGUAGAAGGAACACUGGAACUAUUGUGUCAUAGUCACGAUGAAACAGAAGCGGCCUAGAGAAUUGCAACAGCCAACGGUUACGUAGUGCUUGACGGAUGACAUAUGAUGGAUUCUAUCCACCAGCCACUUACGUAACUACAUGGGUAGCAGACCGAGAAGGUAAAGCUUCAGAAAUUCUUAGGGCAGGGUGGAACGCCAACUAGCCUCAACAGUACUUUAAACUGAGCACAGGGCUAAAUCUUGAAGUCUUAAGCUGUUUGCUCACUUGGCAGUCUGUUGCAAGAGUCCGGCACUGGACACUAUUUCUGGAACUUGAUGACUUCAAACUUUUAGCAGAGUGGCCCCCCCCCCCUUCAGCCACCCAGCCUAAGACACACUUGGGACUUCUGCAGGGCUUGGCUUCUUUAGAGAGCCCUCCCAGAGUUAAUUUCUCCUGAUCAUUUGGGGAGCCCACAACACUCAAUCCAUUGGUGCCCUCUGGUGGUCAUUAUGGGAAGUGCCUGGAGAGUCCCUGCCAUGGAGGUGAACCGCUGCCCAGGACCAGCUAGAGCUUGGCCCCAGACCGCUCACAGAGAGCAGCCAUGAUGCUGCUAGCAUGGACAGGCCCUAAACCCACACCUACCUUGAGCAUGCAAGGAGAUGUUCUGUCUGAUCAUGAGUGAUAGAUUGUGUAACAGGCAGUCAGUGGGUCAGUCAACAAGCAAUUAUUAAAUGCCUACUGUGGGCCAGGCACUGUGUUAAGUGCUAGGGCCCUGAAGGAGCUCACUUUCUAAUGGGGGGAGGGGAACAAAUGUAAGCAACUCUGUACAAAUAAGCUCUGGACAGGACAAAUAGGAAAGGAUUAAUAGAGGGACAGAAUUAGAAUGAAGAGGGGUUGGGAGAGGCUUCCUAUAGAAAAUGAGAUUUUAGUUGGGACCUGAAGCUAGGGAGGUUAGUAGUCCAAGCAGACAAGGGAGAUCCUUCCAGGCAUAAGUGAUGGCCAGCGAGAAUGCCCAGAGCCAAGAGAUGGAGGGCCUUGUUUGUUUGGGCAGAUUA